rnacentral:rRNA from 1 species
UUGGAGGGCAAGUCUGGUGCCAGCAGCCGCGGUAAUUCCAGCUCCAAUAGCGUAUAUUAAAGUUGUUGCAGUUAAAAAGCUCGUAGUUGAAUUUCGAGACCGGUCUACUGGUCGUGCUUUUGUACGUACUGGUUUUAUCGGUUUCUCCUUUCUGACGAACUAUAAUGCCAUUAAUUUGGUGUUAUGGGGAAUCAGGACUGUUACUUUGAAAAAAUUAGAGUGUUUAAAGCAGGCUCACGCUUGAAUACAUUAGCAUGGAAUAACGGAAUAGGACGUUUGAUUCUAUUUUGUUGGUUUCUAGGAUCGACGUAAUGAUUAAUAGGGAUAGUUGGGGGCAUUAGUAUUCAAUUGUCGGAGGUGAAAUUCUUGGAUUUAUUGAAGACUAACUACUGCGAAAGCAUUUGCCAAGGAUGUUUUCAUUAAUCAAGAACGAAAGUUAGGGGAUCGAAGACGAUCAGAUACCGUCGUAGUCUUAACCAUAAACUAUGCCGACUAGGGAUCGGAUGAUGUUAAUUUUUUAAUGACUCAUUCGGCGCCUUACGGGAAAC